rnacentral:rRNA from 1 species
GUAACAGCUCACUGGUCUAGUGGUUCCGCGCCGACAAUGUAGCGGGGCUCAAGCACACCACCGAAGACGCGGCAGUAGCUUUGCUACUGGGUAGGAGAGCGUCCCAUGCGGGGCGAAGCGGCGGCGCAAGCCCGCCGUGGACUGCAUGGGAGUGAGAAUGCAGACAUGAGUAGCGAAAGACGGGUGAAGAUCCCGUCCGCUGGACGACCAAGGGUUCCAGGGCCACGUUCAUCGUCCCUGGGUGAGUCGGGUCCUAAGGCGAGGCCGACAGGCGUAGUCGAAUGGAUGAACGGGUCGAUAUUCCCGUACCGGCAUGCAACCGACAAAACCGAAUCCGCGAGUACUAACCUCCGGGUCCGGGCUUACGUCUCCUUCGGGAGCCGGAUGCCCUGGCCUGUUGGGACCGUAACGGUAGUAGGUCAGCGCGGGAGUGACGCAGAAGGGUAGCCGGCCGCGGAGGUGGUCUUCCGUGGUCAAGCACGCAGCCCGUCCCACAGGCAAAUCCGUGGGGCGCGUGGGCGAGGUGCGAUGAUGGGCGCCGCAGGGCGCGAUAUCCGGUGAUCCCGGCUGCCGAGAAAAGCUUCGGCGUGAGGCGGCGUGCCGCCCGUACCCCAAACCGACACUGGUGGUCAGGUAGAGAAUACCAAAGCGAUCGAGCGAAUCCUGGUCAAGGAACUCGGCAAAUCACUCCCGUUCCUUCGGUUUAAGGGAGACCCCCGAUGGUGAAGCGGCUUGCCCGUGGAGCUUUUGGGGGUGGCACAGACCAGGGGGUAGCGACUGUUUACCAAAAACACAGGAGCGUGCGAAGGCGCAAGCCGCUGUAUACGCUCUGACGCCUGCCCGGUGCCGGAAGGUUAAGAGGAUCCGUCAGGCUUCGGCCGAAGCGGUGAAUUCAAGCCCCGGUAAACGGCGGUGGUAACUAUAACCAUCCUAAGGUAGCGAAAUUCCUUGUCGGGUAAGUUCCGACCUGCACGAAUGGCGUAACGACUUCCCCACUGUCUCGACCAGGAGCUCGGCGAAAUUGCAGUACGAGUAAAGAUGCUCGUUAAGCGCAGAAGGACGAAAAGACCCCGGGACCUUUACUAUACCUUGGUAUUGGCAUUCGGUGUGGAUUGUGUAGCAUAGGCGGAAGGCUUCGAAGCCACGGCGCCAGCCGCGGUGGAGCCGCAAGGUGAAAUACCGCUCUGUUCGCAUUGGAUGUCUAACCUCGACCAGUCAUCCUGGUCAGGGACAGUGCCUGGCGGGUAGUUUAACUGGGGCGGUUGCCUCCCAAAGAGUAACGGAGGCGCUCAAAGGUUCCCUCAGCCCGGUUGGCAAUCGGGUGGCGAGUGUAAGUGCACAAGGGAGCUUGACUGCGAGACUGACGGGUCGAGCAGGGACGAAAGUCGGAACUAGUGAUCCGGUGCCGGUGUACGGACGCGGCAUCGCUCAACGGAUAAAAGGUACCCCGGGGAUAACAGGCUGAUCAUUCCCAAGAGUCCAUAUCGACGGGAUGGUUUGGCACCUCGAUGUCGGCUCGUCGCAUCCUGGGGCUGGAGCAGGUCCCAAGGGUUCGGCUGUUCGCCGAUUAAAGCGGCACGCGAGCUGGGUUCAGAACGUCGUGAGACAGUUUGGUCUCUAUCCUCUGCGCUCGUCGGAAUGUUGAGGAGGCCUGCCCAUAGUACGAGAGGACCUGGGUGGACGAACCUCUGGUAUGCCGGUUGUCACGCCAGUGGCACGGCCGGUUGGCUACGUUC